rnacentral:rRNA from 1 species
GAUGAACGCUGGCGGCGUGCCUAACACAUGCAAGUCGAACGGAAAGACGAGGAGUUUGCUCCGCUGACGUUAGCGGCGGACGGGUGAGAAACACGUGGACAACCCCCCUAUAAGAGUGGGAUAAUUUGGGGACAGGGGAGCUAAUACCGGAGAAUAUAUUGAACCGCAGGGGUGAAUAGUGAAUUACGGUUUUGGGGUAAGGAAUAGAUGGAUCCUCGCCGCAUUAGCUAGUUGGGAAGGUAACGGCUUACCAAGGCAACGAGGCGUGGCCGACCUGAGAGGGUGAUCGGCCACACUGGAGCUUAGACACGGACCAGGCUCCUACGGGAGGCAGCAGUAGGGAAUGUUCCGCAAUGGGCGAAAGCUUGACGGAGCAAGGCCGCGUGUGUGAUGAAGGCCUUCGGUUCGUAAAGCUCUCUUAUGAGGUAAGAACAACUUUGUACGUAGCUGUGCACGUCUUGACGGUACCUGAUCAGAAAGCCCCGGCUAACUACGUG